AAGGAAGCAGCCAGUAGAGCAUCGCCGUUUGUCACCCGAAAGCUGUAUUGAUACAGUGUACCUAUCCCAAAGUCCUUCCGGUCGCACUCCGUCCCCUUCAGCAUUUCGCCAUUAUCUGAAGCCACCACAUGCUGACAUGCAUAGCCCUGACUCGCCGCGUAGCGCUAGAUAUUUUAGUAGUAAUCGUUCCUGAAAAACAGUUUCCUUCCUUCCAAUGUCCGAGGAGUUAAAACUGAAUAUACAUACACGCAAGUCCAGCAAUCUGAAGACCAAGAACGAGAAAUGAUUUAAACAUACCAAGUUACCAAAUCCAGUGAUAAUAAACCUCGAUUGAAAGUGAUUUCGGAUAGUUUGAGAUGUUACCUGACAUGGGUUCACUCCAUGGACAAGAAAAGCAAGAAACCGUGCACCACGCACGAUGAAUCUUCCUAGGCCCGCCUCGUAAAAAUCCAGCGACACAUGUCACACACACACUUGUGAUACACAGCUCUUAUCCAAACCGGAACACGACAACUCUAUCCGCAUGGCUGGUUAGAUGUUGCAUUUGGACGAUAGUUCAAAAAUUAGCGUGUAAUAUAUCGAGCAUUUUUUUCUUCUGAUUUUUAGUAAUAAAAGAGCUAAUGUUUCUAUGGACCAAUCUAAUUUUUUUUCUCGCUUCUCCUUUUUCCUUCUGUAGUCUGUGCCACGCAGCAGCACUGACGAAGGUCGUAAACCUGGAGGAGUGAAGCACAGAACGGAGUGAACCGACGCGCGCGCACCACCGUUUACAGUUAGCCAACGAAUCUCUGCCAAUCGCCAUGCUCGCCUACCUCCUCCACGCGCCCGCCGCCGCCGCCGCGGCGCCCAGCCCGCUCGCCCUCCGCGGGCCGCUNNNNNNNN
rnacentral:lncRNA from 1 species